rnacentral:rRNA from 1 species
GACGAACGCUGGCGGCGUGCUUAACACAUGCAAGUCGAACGGAAAGGCCCUGCUUUUGUGGGGUGCUCGAGUGGCGAACGGGUGAGUAACACGUGAGUAACCUGCCCUUGACUUUGGGAUAACUUCAGGAAACUGGGGCUAAUACCGGAUAGGAUCUCCUGCUGCAUGGUGGGGGUUGGAAAGUUUCGGCGGUUGGGGAUGGACUCGCGGCUUAUCAGCUUGUUGGUGGGGUAGUGGCUUACCAAGGCUUUGACGGGUAGCCGGCCUGAGAGGGUGACCGGCCACAUUGGGCCUGAGAUACGGCCCAGACUCCUACGGGAGGCAGCAGUGGGGAAUAUUGCACAAUGGGCGGAAGCCUGAUGCAGCAACGCCGCGUGCGGGAUGCCGGCCUUCGGGUUGUAAACCGCUUUCGCAUGUGACGAAGCGUGAGUGACGGUAAUGGGUAAAGAAGCACCGGCUAACUACGUG